ACGGAUCCGGAGGAGUUCU
rnacentral:snRNA from 1 species